GUCCAGGUAGCCUAGUGGACAUGGCAUCUGCUCGGUAAGCGGAACACUGUGGGUUCGAUUCCCAUCCCUGGACA
rnacentral:tRNA from 1 species